UGAGAGGACAGGUCGAGAGUGUACAUAUUUAUUUUGUGAGUAUGUCAUAGAGCUUUACCGUAACAUAUACUUGCGACAUCCGACUAAAAGCGAUGUCGAACAGUUGUAUGCCGCACAUCAAGCGAAACAUGGUUUUCUAGGGAUGCUUGGUAGCAUUGAUUGUACACAUUAGGAGUGGAAAAAUUGUCCCAACGCGUGGCGUGGCCAGUUCACGCGAGGUGAUCAUGAGGUGCCGACUGUUAUUUUGGAGGCGGUGGUUUUAAAUGACCUAUGGUUUUGGCAUGCAUUCUUUGGUAUGGACGGAUCAAACAAUGACUUGAAUGUGCUCCAAGCGUCUUUGAUAUUUAACGAUAUUUUACAGGGCAAAGCACCAGAAAUGUCAUAUGUUGUCAAUGAAAAUGAAUACAAAUAUGGGUAUUACCUAGGUGAUGAGAUAUAUCCAGAAUACGCUACGUUUGUCAAGUCAUACACAUUUUCGGCCGACGAUAAACGGAAAAUGUUCAAGUUAGCACAAGAAUCUGCAAGGAAGGAUGUAGAACGGGCGUUUGGAGUCCUCAAACAAAAGUGACACAUAAUCAAACAUCCGGCACGAACAUGGGACAGAGAAAAAUUGAGGACCGUGUUGACUGCUUGUGUUAUUUUACAUAACAUGAUAAUAGAAGAAGAGGACAGGGCUAUUUACUCAUAUACCACAAACGAUAUACUUAACCCACCCGUAAUAAUACAAGUUGGGAGUCUGGCAUACUUCUCAAAGGUUUUGAAAAUACAAAACCGUGAAACACGUCACAAUCUACGACAUGAUUUGACCGAAUACAUAUGGGAACGACAAUUUCAAGGGCAAAAUGACGGUGAAGACGACGAUGAUGACAAUGGUGUCGAUGGUGACGAUGAGGAGGAUGACGAUGGCGGAGACGAGGCGAAUGAUACCGGUGACGACAACGACGACGAUUAGAAUUUUCCUAUGUUUUUUAUGUUUUUUAAUUUUUAUUUUAUUUAGACAACGUAAUGUUAUUUUUCUAUGUUUUUUUUUGUGUUUUUUAAAUUUUAUUUUAUUUAGACAAUGUAAUGUUUAAUUUUACUAAUUUAAGUUUUAAAUUUCUAUGUUUUAUUUAAUGAAAUGUGCUCUUAUUUUUUUAUGUUUUAAUAAAUUAAUGUCGGUCUUCUUGGUGUGGCGUGGAUCGGAAGACGGAUGAAGACGGAGCUUCCUAUUGAUUGCUUCUUUUUUGCCCCCUAUUUCUGGUGGUUUUGCUUUUAAUCCAUCGAAUUAGAAAAAAAAGGGAAGAAGAAAGAGAUUGACCCGUUUUACAGAGAAAUCGGGCGAAGACAACCGGAUGCACAUUUUAUAUGUUUUAAUUCAAAUUACAAUAAGUUUUUUUUAAAUUUAAUCUAAUGUUUUAAAAUUAAAAAAAUAAAAAAUAAAUAUUGUUAGUGGUGACCAUUUUCAAGGUUUAGUGGGUUGGUGGUGGGUUGGGUGUGAAGCUGACAUGACGUAUAGGUGGCAACAUUUUUCCGGUGGGAUGAGUGUAACCACUCCCCAUAGCCUUAAGUGGGUUUGAUAAUUAGGGAUAAUUUGCUUAAUCCAAUAUAUCACCGAAAGGAUUUAAAAUUCAAGGGUGGUUUGCUCCAUUAGUGUUGUUUGAUAAAUUAAAAUGAUUAUAAAAUAUAAAAAUUGAUUAAAAUAGUUUAAAAAGUAUUAAAAAAUUUAUUUCGAUAAAUAUGAUAUUUUGAUAGUUAAGAAGGGUAAAUAUUAUUUUUAAAUUUUAGGUUGCAUAAAUAUAACAUUUUGAAAUUUAUGAUGGGUAUAUACGAAAUUCUUCCAAUUUUUUAUAUGGCUUAUUUAUGUGGUUUCUGAAAGUUGCCUCCAUAGUCCGUGAUAAAAUGCUUUCUUGGAUACGUUUGAAAUGACAAAAAUUUCCUCGCAUGUCUUUUUUUUUUUUUUUUUUUCCUUUUUUAAUUUAAUUUUUAAAUAAAAUGACAAUUACACAUAAUCCCACUAAUACCGACACGACAUACCAACAGCCGAAAAAAAGAACCCAAGAAGCUCAACCUUUAACCACCACUAAAUCAACAAUCAACACCACUACCAUCACAUCUCCCACUGUACAGAUACUCUUUAAAAAGUUGAAAAAUAAAUAAAUAAAUAAAAAUAGGACAACUUUAUAUAAAAAAAUUCAUACCAAAUUUGUAACAAAAAUUAAAAUUUGGGUUAAAGCUGUAAAUAUAUAAAUAAGCUAGCAAACUUAUAAUAAACUUCAAAACACAUAAAAUCUAAGUUUGUUGGCUACUUAACAACCAUUUGUUUAAUAAAACUAGUUAUAACCUAACAAGAAUCCAACCACGAUUGUUAAGUUAAGUUUUGAUCUAAAAACUUACGAUUUUAACAUCCAAUUCAUAUUGAAAUGAAGCUUUCUUAUUUUAUCAUCGAUUUCUUAAUUAAUAUCAAGUUAGAAGAAAACUUAGAUGGUAUUUGUUUUCUGCAAAAGCUCUUCAUGACCGCUUAUGUCUAUGUCGCGCAAACAACACACCAACAUUUGGCCAGCAAACUGUUUGGUUUUUAGAAAAUCACAUACCUAAAAUAAAUCUACACGGUUGCAUCAUCUUUCUUGGCACAUAUAAAAACCUAUGUCUUCUAGGCAUUUCUAGCCUCUUUUUAUAUCAUUAGUUUUAUUGCCACAAAAGACCGUAAACUUCAUAAUCAAUUUUUUAUAUUUUGUUUUCAAUGAAUAUCUUUUAAUAACCAUUUUUUACAAUGAAUAUCUUUUAUCAAUGGUUAUAUACAACUUAUUGGUGGUUUAUACAUCAAAAAAAUUAAGAUGUAAUUAUAACAAGUUUAUUUAUAUUUUCAAUUCACUUUAGCAGGUUACAAAUGUUAAAAAACAAAGUCUUUUUCUUAUAGACUACAUACUACAUAUGUUAGAUUUCAGGCGUUAAAAAACAAACACCUUAACACCAAAUAAGAACCAAGCAACAACACAUACAUUACAAUAAAUAAUGAAACGUAUAUUAUAUUUAUUAACAAUUAACAAUUACAUAACAUUUUUUGGAAAAAAGAUGAAUGAAGUAAUAUACAUUUGAAUUUGUGUCGUCGUGAUUAACAUGUUGAAUUGAUGAAUUGAAAUGGUUAAAUAGUGAUUAAUUCUCGGAAUGGUUAAGUCAAUAUAAAUUCAAGCCUAAAACUGAUCUUAGUAGCAAAUAAAGCUAAAGAAGAUAAAAGUAUCAUACAUUAUACAUUGUUUUUUAAGUUGUCUAUACAAUAAACCAAAUACCAAAGUGAUGUUUAACGGAAUAUCAGGAGUACAGAUCACAAAGCAAUUUGAUAAAUUUAUGUGGCAAUAUGUUAGUUCAAAGAUCACAAAGUAAUUUGAUUCCUUCUCGUUCAAAAUUGCUUAAAAAAAAGGCAAAGUUGUGUGAUUUAGCAUCCUACUUGCAUCUGAGAUUUUUACAUCUUACUUUAAUUUAAUAUAUUCAAGUGUUGUAAUUUGAUAAAUUUAUGUGGCAAUAUGUUAGUUCAAAGAUUAAAAAAUCACUUAUAUAUGAUGCAAAUAACAUAACACCUUUUAUUGAUUUAGUUGAAUGGGAUCCAAAAGCUAGAAUCUUUCAUUCAAUGAAUCUGAGUUAGCAAACUAUACAAUUAAUACAAACUUUAAUAUUAGUAGGUAUAUUAAAUUAAAGUUUUACGAAAGUAAUGAAAAACUAUAUAUAUACGAGUUUUAGGUAUAAAAAAACAUAAACAGUGACAAGUCUUAUAAAACUACAUAUAUGGUUGCACAAUCUUGUAGUUAGAUAUAUCAUAUAUGUUUUCCGGUAACUUUCUUAACACAGUUGGUAUAAGAGUAAAACACACAAAUAAAUUUAGCAAAGAGUCUUCAUGCUCAAUACGACUUAAUCAACUAUAUUGUGAGAGUAUAUAAAGAAUUUUCUUGUUAUCUUUGAGCACCCAGAUUGUUUAUUUAAAAUGAAUUUAAAUAAAUAAAUAAUAACUAACAAAAAACUUUAUAACAACUUUAGUAACUUGUUUCAAAAUAAAACGAUUUCUUUAAUUUCACUGUCACUAAAUACGAAAUAGCAGUCACUAUCACAACGUAUCAUAUAGAUAGCUUGUCGCUAUUUACCCUUGUUCGCUAUCAACAACUAUGUCUAAAUCGUAGUAUGAGCAUGAUGAUUUUUUAAUUCAUUAUGUAAAGAAUGUGGAUGACAUAUUAAAACUAUUAUAUACUAAUGUUAUUAUAUAAUACCAACUAUGCUAAAAAAGCUACCAAGAACAUGCAUUUAACAAUCAAAUGGAGAGUAAUUCAAAUGUGAGAUGCUCCAAAGUUAUUAACAUUUUAAUUUUAAUUUCAACAAUUGAUAAGUUUUUAGCCUGUUGAAAAAUCUAUUAGCUUUUCUUUUAACAGAAUUAAAAACGUAUACAUUUUUAAUAAGAUAAUUUAUAUUCAAUCGUAAACAAAAUCGUUCCAUAACAAGAAAAAACAACAGUUAAUGUAUGCAAUGUGAAAUAUCUACAAUCACACAUUUCCACUUGGCAUAGUUAUUGUCUCAAAAUCUGAACGAAAUGAAAGACAUGACAAUGUUAGGUUGGAAAACAUACUUCAUUAUUUUGAUAAUCUCACCAUUUAUUUGCAUCGACAUUGUCGGUAGUAAUAAACACUCUAACCCAUUGGUUUUAAAUGAGAACCUAAAUAGCCAACAAACGAUUUCCAGUUUGAGAAAAAAAAAUCCAAUUUCUCACAUUUGAUAAGUUUCAAUACAUACAACUUGAAAUCAUUAUUUAUAAAAGGUCAAAACAUCAUUACAUAUUCUUUCGAAUACCCAUCAAAUCGCAAAACCCGAUAGUUUGACAAUAAAAUGUAACCCACACCUCUACUUAUGAUUGUUUCAUCCAAAACGGGAUUAACAUAAGAUGGUAACUAGAUAUUACGGAGCUCCAUUCAUUCCCAUAUAAUGGAAUCAAAUAAUUCUAGCUGAUAUUUAUCAUAAUCCACCUAAUCCUUUUUCAAUUUAUUAUAAAAAACAUAAAAAUCAUAAAACCAACUAAGAAAACAUAGAUAACUAUAAUACAUACAGACUUAUGAUGACUCUUCAUAUGUUAAUUGAAAGAUCUUGAAAUGUAGCGGCCUCGGACACAUAACUUUCAUAACACACUUUAUUGUAAUGUAAUAGACAAUUGGGUUAGAUAAUGAUUUGGCAUCGAUACUUGUUGGUUUACAAACAAAUAAGAACUUUUAUUGAUAUUCAUUUCGAUUAUCACAUUCACCAAGAGCGAGUCUGGGCAUAGAAGAUGCUAAAAUUCCAACUUUGGUAGAAAAUUAAAAUAAAAAGUCUUCGUACCACAUGACGGUAGAAACUACGUUUUAUAGUUCUCCAUGUUUUUUUGUUAUAUAGUAACACAAAAAACGACAUUAUAUUUUCGUUUGUAAGAUCAAGUACAUGAGUGUUGUACAUUAGUUUUUUAACAUAUUGACUUGUACAACGUAAAAUAUCAAACGACUUUACUAAUGUUCUUAAAACAAUUUCAAUGGACAGCUCAUACUCCAAUGAUGACAACUAUAAAACAAUAAAGAUAAUCAAACAUUGUACAAGAACACCCACAAAGGAUACUUUCAUGAAUUUCAUUUACUCCUAUAGGAAGAUUAAAGUAUUUUUUAUGUUUUAAUUUGGUUUAUAGCGUAUUCUUAGUUAGUAUAAUAUCUAAAACCUUAGUUUAUAUUUAAUUUUCAAUUGGCGCUUGUAUGUUUUCUAUCAUCUUUGUUUAAGCGUUUAAUCUUUUUUUGUUGUGAAUCUUUUUAUGUUUGUUUUUUGUUAUGUUACUUAUAUUGGCAUAUUUGUACAAUGUUUGAUUAUUUUUUAUUGGUUUACAAUUAUCAUCAUUAGAAUCUAAGUUGUACACUGAAUUGUUUCAAAAACAUCAUUAUAGACAUUUGAUAUUUUACAUUGUACAAGUAAAUAUGUUGAAAAACUAACAUACACCACCAUGUACUUGAUCUUUAAAAACGAAAACUAACAUACAAUACCCAUGCACUAGAUCUUUACAAACGAAAAAACAAUGUCGUUUUUGGUGUAUUCUUCAACGAAAAAAACAUGGAGAACUAUAGAGCGUAGAUUAUAUGUGUAACGAAGAUUUUUUACUUUGAUUUUCUACCAAAGUCAUGUAUAACUUUAGCAUCUUCAUUGCACGAACACAUUGGUGAAAUGUGAUAACCAAAAUGUUGCUAUAUUUGUUUGUAAACCAACAAUUAUUGAUGUCAAAUCAUUAUCUAAUCUAAUUGUCUAAUACGUUACAAUAAAGGUUGCUAUAUUAGUUAUGCGUUAGAACCUGUUACAUUUCAAGAUCAUUCCAUUAUCAUACACAAAAGUCAUUGUAAGUUUGUAUAUGUAUUGCAAUUACCUAUGUUUUUUUAGUUAGUUUUAUAACUUUUAUGUUUUUUUAUAAUGAAUUGAUAAAUGAUCAUGUGGUCUAUGAUAACUUUCAACUACAAUUAUUUACUUCACUAUAUAAAAAUGGAUAUAGCUUCGUAAUAUCCAAUUACCAUCUUCUGUUUAUCUCGUUUCGGAUGAAACAAUUAUAAGUAGAGAUGUGGUUUACAUUUUAUUGUCAAAUUAUCAAAUUUUGUGAUUCGAUGCAUAUUCAAAAGAAUAUGUAAAAUGAUGUUUUUGACUUUCUAUAAAUAAUGAUUUCAAGUUGUAUCAAGGCUUAUCAAGUGCGAAGGAAAUUGGAUUUUUUUUCUCAAACAGGAGAUCGUUUGUAAGCUAUUUGUUUAGAGGAAAUAUAUUAAGUAUGUUGUUCCGACCCAACGUUGUCAUGAUGUCUUCUCAUUUCGUUUAUAUUUUGAGACAAUAACUAUGCCCAGUAGAAAUGUAUGAUUGUAGAUAUUUCAUAUUGCAAUCAUUAACAAUUGAUUUUUUAUAAGAAACUAUUUUAUUUAAUAUUGAAUACUUUGUUUUGAUAUAAUUUAUGGUUUAAUCAUCAAAUUCUGUUGUUUUAUGUAUGAUUUUUAUUUAAUAUAUGUUUUGAAAAUUUUAAUAAAAUCAUUUUAAAACAUUAAUAUAAAAUUACUUUUUAUAUCUAAUUCUUUAUAUAUAUAUAUAUAUAUAUAUAUCUACAUAUUAUAUCUUAAACNNNNNNNNNNNNNNNNNNNNNNNNNAUUUAAAUAGAGACGUUAAAUUUUAAAUGCAUCAAAUCUUGAUACAAAAUUACAUAUAAACUGAUUAUGUAAAAAAGUUCAAAUUAAUCAAUUUUAUGUCAAAAGUUAUAUUUUUUAUUAUGAAACUUGUUUUGGUAAAUUUAUUAAAAGUAAAGCAAGUAAAUUUAUUGUAUCUUAAAAAAAACAGCCUAUAUAUUUGGAAAUCAACAAAUCAACAACAAACAUUUAUUUGUUGAAGAAUCUAAUUCAAUCGAGUUUUCUAAUUUUACAGUUGUGAUUAUGGUAAUACUAUUAGCAACAUACUUUGAGAUUUAUUUUAGGGAUAUUUACCCAAGUUGAUGACCAAAAUAAGCUCUGGAUACCGGAGAUUGAAAAAUAAAUUCGACCUACUUUUAAAAACACUCUUUGAUAUUUGGAUUUGAAUUUUGCACAAAAAAUAAUCAUGCUUUAAAACUUUUUUUUUAAUUUAUUAGUUUACAUAGAUUUGGUUUAGUAUUUAAUGAUUUGCUUAAUAUUUUACUAUUUUUAUGAAUUGGUUUAAUUAGAGUUACUUUUCUUUCAUUUUUGGUUACUUUUUAAAUUGAUUUGUACUUCGAUGAUAAUUUACCACAUAAAUUUAUCAAAAAUACAAUAGGCAAAUAAAGAGUAAAUUACUGAAAUCGUCCCCUAUGGUUUGGUGAAAAUUUCACGUUUGGUCCCUAACUUUUCUUUUGCACUCGGAUCGUCCCUAUGGUUUGAUUUUGUUGCGUUUUUCGUCUCUUGCAUACAUAAAAUUAGAGACCAAAUGUGAAAUUUUGACCAAACCAUAGGGACAAUUUUAGUAACUUACUCUAAAUUAAAAUAUGAUGUUGGAAUUAAAAAAAAAAAAAAAAAAGAAGUCAAUGCAAAUAAGAUACAAUUUCACACACCUUUGCAUUUCCUCCUAAAACGAGGAGAAAACAAUUGCAUUCUUUGCUUAUACCUAAAGAGAUUACCCCUAAAGAAAUUGUCCCUAUAAAUAGUCAUUAUUAAUUACAAAAACGGUCCCUAUAAAAAAAAAUAAUCUUUGAUCUAACUAGGACAAUAAAAACAUAAAUGGUCCCUAUAAAUGUUUUUCAAUAUUUGGUCUAACGGGGACAAAACAUAAAUCCAAGAAAAAAUUAUAGUAAACUAGUGUAAAAUAGUAAAAGUAUUUAUUUGUUUCCAGAAAAUAGUCCCAUGAGCUUCAUUGUACAAAAAAAAUUUUAAUUUUCGAUAUCAUCUUAAAAUAACAAAAAAAAAAUGUAAUUUUUAAAAGUACGAUGCUAUUAAUGAAUUUUUAAAAAUAAUCCGAAAAAAAUAAAGCUUUCAAUGCACAACACAACACAAACACCAAACAUACAUUAUGCAAUAAUUUUGUUUUGAAAACACAUCACAAUAGACAACACACACUUAACAUACAUCAUGCAUAAACAAUAAAAACACAGGGAAUGAUUAAUCAAAAAAGUAUGAAAACUAACCUGACAUUCUGUUCUUUGUUGUAGAGACAAACGUAUUUUGGAGCUGUAUACAAAAUACAAAGUUAAUGAAAACAUAUUUAUAAGAGAUUAAGAUUUUAUGGAUACAUCGAUUCCACUUUUAAGAUUUUAGGAAAAUAACAAAAAACGAAUGGUAGUAACCAGAAAUUAAACCGAAAUCAACUUGUUUGAUUUCACAAUCAAAGAUUGUGAUUAAAAUUCACAAUAUUGUGAUUAAAAAUUUAAAAACAAUAUCGAGAUAAUCCAAUAAAAGUCAAGAUGAAAUCAAAUCGUAAUAAUCUUUUACAAAAUCCAAAAAGUGAAUUUACAUAGAUGUGAUAUGUUAAACAAAAUUUGAAACCCUAGAGCAUGCUAAAAUCAUUAGAACAUCUCAAAACGAGGAAUCAAACUAAUAAACGAAGAAAAAAAAAAACUCAGGAAUAUCACAAAAAGUUAAAAAUAAGAUAAGUGAUUUCACAUACUUUGAAGUGUGUAUUUAUCGGAGGCUCAGAUCUGUUUUACGAUCGGAACAAGAGGAUUAAACCGCCAUGGCUGCAAAUACAGAGGUUGCAUUCUCACAAUCGCCGUCCUCCGAUUAUAUGCCCUGCCAAGCUGCGGAUAAUCUCAAAUCAUGUCCCGAUUUGACUCAGAUCACUUUUAAUCAUCAUAGCCUCUGGGUUUAGGGGUGUUUGGAUGGGGAAUUGCAUGUCAUAACUUCAACGAUCUUUCUCUGUCUCUCUCUAUAUAUACAUACACAUACAUACAUACGAAUAUAUAUAAAUAUAUACAUAUAUAUAUCAGAGGGUUGUUGGAGUUUGAAAGAAAACAAUGGAAAUCAUCGGCAUGGAGAGGCGGCAACCACCCUCAGAAACCCUUGUUCCUCUCACUGCCUCAUUCUCAUACUCUGAGUCGUAAAACAAAUAUCCCUAAUCGUCAGCCGGUUACUCUAUAU
rnacentral:lncRNA from 1 species